CAGCCGUAAACGAUGCGCGUUAGGUGUAUCGACGACCACGAGUCGUCGAGGUGCCGAAGGGAAACCGUGAAACGUGCCGCCUGGGAAGUACGGUCGCAAGGCUGAAACUUAAAGGAAUUGGCGGGGGAGCACCACAACAGGUGGAGCCUGCGGUUUAAUUGGACUCAACGCCGGAAAUCUCACCGGAUAGGACAGACAUAUGAUAGUCGGGCUGAAGACUCUACUUGAUGAUCUGAGAGGUGGUGCAUGGCGUCAGUGACU
rnacentral:rRNA from 1 species